rnacentral:rRNA from 1 species
CUACGGGGCGCAGCAGGCGAGAAAACUUUGCAAUGUGCGAAAGCACGACAAGGUUAAUCCGAGUGGUUUCUGCUAAAGGAACCUUUUGACAGUCCUAGAAACACUGUUGAAUAAGGGGUGGGCAAGUUCUGGUGUCAGCCGCCGCGGUAAAACCAGCACCUCAAGUGGUCAGGAUGAUUAUUGGGCCUAAAGCAUCCGUAGCCGGCUCUGUAAGUUUUCGGUUAAAUCUGUACGCUCAACGUACAGGCUGCCGGGAAUACUGCAGAGCUAGGGAGUGGGAGAGGUAGACGGUACUCGGUAGGAAGGGGUAAAAUCCUUUGAUCUAUUGAUGACCACCUGUGGCGAAGGCGGUCUACCAGAACACGACCGACGGUGAGGGAUGAAAGCUGGGGGAGCAAACCGGAUUAGAUACCCCAGUAGUC